rnacentral:sRNA from 1 species
CGAUCGCGUAUCCUCACGGGCUUUGCGAUCGCAUUUUAUUAACCGACCUUUAUUUAGGAGAUCAAUAGUGGCCCGUAUCGCUGGCAUUAACGUGCCUGAU